rnacentral:misc_RNA from 1 species
AACGCACGAGACCUGCGGACCUGCGGAGGGAUCAUUACAGAGUUUGGGUUCCUUUGGAGCCCGACCUCCCAACCCUUUGUCUACUUAACCACUUGUUGCUUCGGCGGGCCCGUCUAGAAAUAGACCGCCGGAGGACCUUAACAUGUCCUCUGGCCCGUGUCCGCCGACGGCCUACCUUUAUAAACUCUGAAUAACCAUGAUAUUUAUCUGAGCACUUAUGAAAUUAAAGCAAAACUUUCA